GUUGUUAUGCGUUUACUUUUCUACAUUGGUUAGAGGUAUAGGGGGAGGGUUGAGAUCUCACAAACAUGUUUAACCCCGCCGCAUUUUUGCGCCUGUCCCAAGUCAGGAGCCUCUGGCCUUUGUUAGUCUUGUAUUAUUUUAAUUUUAGUUUCUUGUGUACAAUUUGGAAAUUAGUAUGGCGUUCAUUAUCACUGAACUAGUAUAUAUUUGUUUAGGGGCCAGCUGAAGGACCCCUCCGGGUGCGGGAAUUUCUCG
rnacentral:lncRNA from 1 species